UAUUAUGACCUAAUAAGAUAGGAGAUUGGUGGGAUCAUUAUUAUUACCUGAUAGGACAGCUUUCAGUUUUGUGCUGAUGCUUAUGUGAUUCAUUAUUUAUAUACUUCCAUCCUAUUAUUGCUUGAAGGUCCGAAGCUCAUGCCAAUCAUGAGCAAUUUAUGUUUGUGAAUAGUUCUUUUCAUGUCCCAUACAGAUACAUGCAUCUGGCUUGAAGUUGGUGGUAUUGAAUUGUCCCUAUCUAUCAGAAUUACUUCUUAUGCAUCUAUUUCUAGCAUUUUAUUGAAUAUUUUAAAUUUUUAUCUUGGAGGGUAAGACAUAAUUAGAUAAAGUAUAUUGUUUUCUGCUGCAUUUUUUAGGAAAAGGUUCAACUGUAUAUUUGUAUCCUUAACAAAGAACACUAAUCAUUAAGAAUUUAAUGUUAAUUAUGUUAUUAAAGAAUUCAAUCUGAAUAUAAAUUUGUGUAAUCCUUAUUUUAUAACAAUGGUGUGACCUAGUAGAUUUCAAUACUUUCGCAAAGAGAAUAUCCCCCUCCCUGUUAUAGUUACAGAGGUUCCGGAUUAUUUUAAUUUUUUAAUUAAUUAUUUUCUAAGCACAUGUGUAAAAUUUUGUAAUUACAAUGGAAGAAUAGAGCCCUAUGUGAUCUUCAUUAUGAUGUUGUCUGAGUAAUUAUUGUUUGGAAUUCAUGCAAAGCUGUCCUUGUGGAUUUUCUUUAUUGCUCUUUGUUUUUCCUUUGGAUAGACUUCUCCAGGGAGCUGAAGAAUAACCCAUUCCAGAGCUGUUGGCUAUUAUACAACAUAGAUGCAGAAGAGGUGCUACCAUCUGAUAAAAUCGUCACAAGGUUUUUUUAAGGAGAAUCCGAUUGUAUAAGGUUAUCAGUUUGUUUUUUUAUAAUGAAAUUCUAAAACUUGUUCUCAUGCGCAUGUGUUGAUAUACGCACUUAUAAAGACAUAAACAUACUGCCAAAUUUACAGAAAGUCUUUUGUUGGUAUAUGUUGCAUUAACAAAUGUAGAUAAGAUUCUAGUUGAUGCUGUUUACUUAGUUUUUGACAUGCCAUCAAAUUAUUGAUCAAGUUGUACAGAAUCAUUUUUUUUUCUUGCAUUAGUUGCAUAUAAUUAUUCUUGCAUAUCUGAAACUAUAUCCAUUCUAGUUCAUUAGUCUUGUUCUUUCCUUUUUAAUUAACAAAACAAUAUGUUGCAUAAUCAUAAAAUGGCAACUACAGAUAUUUGGAGCAGAUACUAUUUUCUUCUUCUUCUUCUUCUUUUUUGAGAAAACAGAUACUGAUUUGUUACACCAAAAAUGGCCCUGAUUGCAGUAAGUAUUGCAUCCUACAGUCUUUUUUCACGGCCCAUCUCAUAAAGAUAAAUUAGGCCAACUUGUGGUUGUAUUAUCUUGACUGAAGUUUUUUUGACCGUGUGGUGCAGCAAACUGAAAACUGUUGUUAGGAAAUGCUCCCUCCACUCCAAAAUUAGAAGAGAAAUUUUUUUCUUUUUUGUUCAUUUCAAAAUUAGAUAUACAUUUCUAUUUUUAGACUAUAAACUGACAUAAAGUUCCUAACUUGCAAUUAUAUUACUAGUUAAUGUUAGGCGUAUAUUUGGAAAAGUAAAGUUCUCAUUAAAACUCGUUGUUUUAGAAAUGCAUCUCUAAAUUUGAAAUGGAGGGAGUACUCUCUCUGUCCGGAAAAUUGAGUCGACUUUUUUUUUGUAAUUUCAUUUGAAAAUGAUACUCGUCGAACAGAGGGAAUACAUCAAAACAAAACCAGGAUAAAUAAAAGAAGUAGGAAAAAAGGAGAGAAAGGAAUAGAAUCGAUAAAAGAAUAUGUGAAACAAAGACAAAAAGAGAAGAAACUUAAUUGACAAGAAAAAAGACAGAUAGCUGUAGAGAUCAAUUGGUAUAUUCUUUUUAGUGCUUUUAAUUCACUCUGUAUAUUUAGACUUGGUGCAAAGAACCACUCAGUUGGCACCCUCAAUAGUCGUGGUCCUUCAUGUCAUAUAUUUAUGGAAAUAUGCAUGCAUAGGAACACCUGUAAUCUUGUGGUUGUUUUAUCGACUGAAGUUUUUUUUGACUGUGUGGUGCAGCAGACUGAAAACCCUCCAUUCCAAAAUUAGAGAAACAUUUUCUUUUUAGUUUGUUCCAAAAUUAUAGAUACAUUUUUAUUUUUAGACUAUAAAGUGACAUAAAGUUCCUAAAAAAAAUGGAGUUGUAUUAUUUUUCUAAUUUCAAUUGAAAAUGGUAUUCGUCGGAGAGAAAGGAAAAGAAUUGAAAAAAGAAUAUGUGAAAGAAAGGCAAGAAGAUAAGAAACUUAAUUGACAAGAAAAAAGACAGAUUGCUGUAGAGAUUAAUUGGCAUAUUCUUUUUAGUGCUUUUAAUUCANNNNNNNNNNNNNNNNNNNNNNNNNNNNNNNNNNNNNNNNNNNNNNNNNNNNNNNNNNNNNNNNNNNNNNNNNNNNNNNNNNNNNNNNNNNNNNNNNNNNUCCACACACUUCCUUAGUAUAUCUUACAGUUGUCUUAGCCGGAUCUCUGUCAUUUAAGUUAUUAUCCUUAGUUUCAGAAAAUCAUGGAAAGAGUUAAUACAAUUGAAUUAGUUGUGGACAUAUAUUUCUUUACCAUGUCAUAAACAAUUAUGGCUUCACCCCCUUUAUUUUAUUUAGUGCCUGCAUCCCAUUAUUACACUUCAAGCCUAUGAUAAUUGUGUGCAUGGUUAGGCAAACAUAAAUAAAAGAUACAAGAAUGGUAUAUACCCAAAUCAUAUUUUCAUGAUUUGGAUGGAAGUUGUAACGACAAAGAUGCCAGCUGAAUAAUUCAUUUUUAUUGUAUUUUUAUUUUUAACAAUUACUUAAUUAUUUCAAGUACUAUGUAAAUUAAGAAUACUACCAGCGCCUAAAGACAAGAUAAAAGAAAAGUUGGUUGGAGUUGACAGAACCUUGGCCCUGUGUUAUUAGUGUUCUUGCACAGAUUGUAAUAGAAUUGGAUUUUUGGAUAGUCAAAUACUACAAUAAUAAUAAUAUAUGUCCAGGUUACAUUUUUCAGUGGUCAUGUGCAGAUUGCAGGAGAAGCAGACACAAUGGCCUGCAGAUACUGUUAGGCACUAAGAAAGGACCAACUCAUGGUUUGUCCAGUUAACGAGGCUCCGCAGCCAAGAAGGGGACAUUAAAAUAUGUCAGAACAAUCCCACCUUCAUCAACUCCAUGGGGACUCACUGGUAUUAAUCUAACAAUAUCAUCUGUUCUUCCCAUAUCUCUGCAUUAGAUUGCGAGUGUUUUUUACUCUCUCCGUCCCACAAAAACAGUCCCAUUUAUAGUAUUUGUAAAUAUUAAGAAUGUAUUUUUUUUUGUUAAAAGAGGACUUUUUAUACAAAUGAAACUAUUUUUAUGGAACGGAAGGAGUAUUAUUCUCCAGGUCAAUGCUGCGUUGUAAUUAGCAAAAUUUAUGAAAACCAUGAUUUUGUCUGGAUAUGUUCAUUUUUUACAAUGUUACAGUAUGCUGCUUUGGGUGGGAAUAUUAUUAUUAUUAUUAUUAUUAUUAUUAUUAUUAUUAUUAUUAUUAUUAAUAUAGGUAUUGUUCCAAUAUGCUUUCAGGUUGUUUCCACUUUUCCAUGCUUUGCCUUUUGGAUGACUUUUUUUACCAGGAAUUAUCAGAGCCAGGCUAGGUGGCUUUCUUGUGUGGCAGUCUGGUAAGUGAAGCACAGUGUUGUUAGCUCAGGAGAUUUGAGUAGAGUAAUACCUUGAGGCAUACCAGAGAUCAUGCAAAGUAAGUGGGACCUAUUCAAGAUACGAGGUGCUACAAUAUCGGAUAGAGGGUCAUAUUUUAUGCUAUUGGAUAAGGGGUGUCACUAACCACCUUACCUUAUUGGAUAAGCCUUUUGAAUUCAUUCAAAAAUGUGACAUUGCUGCCUGCUUGCCAAAACUGGGCAUCAUUAUCAAACUUUUUGCUUCUUGAAGAAUCUAAAUUGAAGUAUGGUUACAUUUUUGGUGUCUAGAUUCUUCACUCACAGGUGGAGUGAAAGAUGGACAGUGGAAACAAAGAGUCCCAUGAAUUGGAUACAUGCAUGUGAAUUCUCAGCCCCAGGCAUAUCAUUUUUUUUGAGGAGUGGUUAGCAUGAAGUGAACUUCAUGGUAAGUUCAUUUUAUAUCCAAUACAAUGUUAUAAUGCAGGGAGAGAGAUUACCCUCCCGCUUGCUUAUGUGUCAAUACUAUAUUUAAUAUGAAAUGAACUUUUCAUAAAAUUAACUUCAUGCUAAGCCGAUCAUUUUUUUGCUGUCAUUUUUAACAAAUUUGAGAGCUCAAAAUUCCUAUGCCAC
rnacentral:lncRNA from 1 species